GGCUAGCGAGCAGCGCCGGCGCCGGCGGCGAUGACGAAUGAGACGGUGUACUACGAUGUGCUCACGUCUGUCCCGCCGCAUCUGACGACGAGAUCUGCAAGGCCUACUACAUCAAGGCGAGGCAGGUGCAUCCAGAAUUCCAGACAAGAAUCCCAACAACCCGCAGGCGGCCGAGAAGUUCCAAGUCCUCACUGCAGCUUGAUUCUGUCCAUGUUCUUGCUGGACAACGACUUGAUUUAGCGGAGUGAAUGUGUGGUGUGCUGACAAGCUGAUGGUUCCCUUCUCGAUGAUGGUUCCCCUCUCGAAGUCUCGAUGAUGGUUCCCAGGCUCUUGGAGAGGCCUACCAGGUUCUGAGUGACCCUCUGCAGAGGAAGGCCUACGACGGCUACGGAAAGAACAGCAUAUCCAGGGACAACAUACUGGAUUGCACUGUUGUUUUCACCCUCCUUUUCAGGAGCGAGCUGUUCGAGGACUACAUUGGUCAUCUUGCAUUAUGGGUGCUUUACGAAAACAAUGUCAAUAAAGAGGAUCUGAAGGCCCGAGCAGCGGCCUUGAAAAAUUUCAGAGGGACAAGGAGGCAUUAUCUGGGCCAGGGCCAGGGCCGUCAGGGCCAUCAAAACGAACAGUUCUUGAUGAUGACAGCAGUUCAGAUGACAGUUCAGAUGAUGACAUAGCUCGGACGGUGCCAUAUCGAACUCCUGCAUUUACUCAGACCAUUGUUCAAUCACCACGCAUAUUUGUUUCAUAUCAAUGAUUUAUGAAUUGAAACCUUCAGUAAGAAACCAGUACAUUUGCGGUGCAGGGAAUCUGAAGGCUGUUCAGAUGCUUAUGCAACCCCGCUUAUGAUGUUGACGAUGAUUUUGAGCCCCCCAAAUGAGUUCUAGAACCAAACACCAAUAGAUGUGUUCAAAUGUUCGUGACUUUUUUUUUUCCAACUAUAUGAUUCAGAGCCAUGUGAGUUCAGAUCAUACGUCGCCAUCCUUUAUCUUAAGGAUACGCACGCUGAUGCUACUUCAGCUCUGUGAAUGAUGGCUUAACUUCUCCCUUCAAACAUGGAUGAAGAUAGAAGUCAUGCACAGAGCGAAAUGCUGAAAUGUUCACCAAGUGCCAAAGUGACCAAUCAGAGAUAGGCUGAACAAGUUACAUGAUUUUGGAUGCAAAACGAUGCAGAUCAGAUCAGGUAGCCCAAUGCGCUGACGCCCUCAACAAAGCAGUCUGCAGCCUGCAUUGCACAGAACCACCAGUCUGGUAUCAACUUGAAGUCCUGCUGCUGCACCGUAAAUGCGGGAGAGAGAUGCCUGCUGGGAGUACUGUGACAAGCUGGAUGGGAACAAAGUCCGGUGCAGGUUCUGCCACGAGGUCCUCAAUGGUGGCAUCAGCCGGCUCAAGUUCCAUCUGUCUCAAAUUCCCAGCAAAGGGGUUAACCCUUGCACCAAGGUGAAGGAAGACGUCAUUGACAAGGUGAAGGCUAUCAUAUUGGCAAAGGAAGAGUACAAGGAGUUCCAGCUUCUCAAGAGGCAGCGGGUUGCGGAAUUGUCGGUACCCCCGAAACGAACACAGGAGGUUCUGUCUCAGUCUACUUCUCCAGGGCCGGCGAACUCUCCAGCUGCUGCUCUUGCUGCUGAACAGAGUCACCUUCUUGCUCUGGAAGUGUCGACUCCGGUGCCAAAACUAUCUGGUGCUGCUAACAAGUCACGCGCUGCUUCAGAAUUGGAGGCCGAACGAUGCAUAGCUAAAUUCUUUUUCGAGAAUAAGUUGGACUAUAGUAUAGCAGACUCAGUUUCUUACCAGCAUAUGCUGGAGGUACUUGGUGGUGUGGGGUUCCGAGGGCCGUCAGCAGAGGUUCUGAAGGACAAGUGGUUGCACAAGCUCAAGUCAGAGAUUUUGCAGAAAACAAAAGAGAUUGAAAAGGAUUGGGUGAGUACUAUAUUGGCUGAUUCAUGGACUGAUAACAAAUUGAAAGCCCUAAUCAACUUUUCUGUGUCGUCUCCUCUAGGGACUUUCUUCCUCAAAACAGUGGAUGCCUCUCCACACUUCAAAACUCACAGAGGGUUGUAUGAUCUCUUCGACGAGGUGAUUCGAGAAGUUGGCCCAGAGGAUGUUGUUCAGAUAAUCGCUGACAGGAAUAUAAACUAUGGCAGCAUAGACAAGCUAAUCACGCAGAACUACAACAGCAUCUUUUGGUCCCCUUGUGCAUCUUUUUGCAUUAACUCAAUGUUGGAUGACUUCUCCAAGAUUGAUUGGGUGAACCAAUGCAUUUGCCAAGCACAAACCAUAACACGAUUUAUCUACAACAAUAAGUGGGUUCUUGAUUUUAUGAGAAAGUCCAUGGCAGGGCAAGAGCUUGUUUGUUCAGGGAUUACAAAGUCUGUAUCGGAUUUUCUCACAUUGAAAUCCUUGUUGAGGCACAGGUCAAAGCUGAAGCAAAUGUUUCAUUGCGCUGAAUAUUCAUCUUCUUCAUAUGCGGUAGGUCCAUUGUUGAGAUACUCAAUGAUGAUGAGCUUUGGAGAGCAGUUGAAGAGAUAGCUGCUGUUUCUGAACCUUUGUUGAGGGUUAUGAGGGAUGUUUCAGGAGGCAAAGCUGCCAUUGGUUACGUAUAUGAGUCUAUGACAAAAGUGACGGACUCUAUAAGAACAUACUACAUAAUGGAUGAAGGCAAAUGUAAGUCGUUUCUGGACAUAGUGGAGCAAAAAUGGCAAGCAGAGCUGCAUUCACCUCUUCAUUCAGCAGCCGCCUAUCUGAACCCAAGCAUCCAGUAUAACCCAGAAGUAAAAUUUUUCACUAGUAUAAAGGAGGAGUUCUACCAUGUUCUUGAUAAGGUGCUUACAACCCCUGACCUAAGGCAGGAUAUUACUUCUCAAUUGCAUGCUUUCCGCAAGGCACAAGGGAUGUUCGGUUCUAACAUUGCUAAAGAGGCCCGUAACAAUACCUCCCCAGGGAUGUGGUGGGAACAAUACGGCGAUUCAGCACCAUCACUGCAACGAGCCGCUGUCAGAAUUACCAGCCAGGUUUGCAGCACCUUGACGUUCCAAAGGGACUGGGAUAUAAUCCUUCAGAACCACUCUGAAAAGUGCAACAAGCUGGACAAGGAGGCUUUGGCCGACCAAGCCUAUGUGCACUACAAUCUCACGCUCCAUUCCGAACCGAAGACGAGGAAGAAGUUGGAUGGGGAUCCUAUCGCAUUGGAUGGCAUUGACAUGACAUCGCCAUGGGUGGAGGACUCUGACGGCCCAAUCCUCACCCAGUGGCUCGAUAGGUUCCCAUCGGCCUUGGAUGGUGGAGACUUGAACACUAGGCAGUUUGGUGGAUCCAUCUUUGGCCCCGGCGAUAAUCUGUUCGGCUUGUAAUAGUUCUUAGUUCCAGGUCUAACACAACGUGACUUUUGUUUCUGUUGUACAAGUGCUCAUGUAUGUACCAUGUAGGUCUUCUGUAGUUCAAUCUCUGCUAGGACAGAGGCAUAGAGCCUAGAACUUAGACUGAUGUCAAGGUAAGAAUUGUAUGUUACCCUUAUUCAGUCAAGGAGAGAAGUGCCUGUUACUCGUACUUAGUCCCUAUUAACAUGAGAACAUAGGGUAUGGAGACUGAAUCCGAAAAUUUAUUAAUCCAUUUCUUGUGCA